rnacentral:sRNA from 1 species
UCUACAGGGUUGGCCGCUGCGGCGUUGGCUGGGUUGGCGGUGCUCUUUUCAUCUCGUGAAUGUUGUAGCGAUGAGCUUGAGCUUGGGGAGCCGACAAUUUUAGCUGGAGGUCGGGAUUCGGUAUCCACAUCUCUCUAACUAGGUCUGCGGAGCCACUUUAGCGCGGCGCGUCAAGUUUGUUUUAGGACAUUAUAUUUGACGUAUAUUGUAAUGUGUGUAUCUCCACGCGGGACAGCCGUGCUGCCGAGACCAGAGGCGCUGCCGAGACUGAUUCGUGUACAAUGAUAAAAGCUAAGUGUACCUGGAAAGUUCAAGGCGAUCGCCCAGUCUCCGAUGCUAUAGUGUACUUUGAAGGCAAUGAAAACAUCGACCUUGAAGAUGCCAUUUCAGCCGAGAACUGUGUUCAGCUGGAGGCUCCCUUGGAAGAUGAUGUUACUGGGAACUACAUUGUCCCGUCCUGCCAGAUCUUCUUGUUCUGCAAUGAUUCGCACCAAAUGGGCAGUGUGUCCAUCCUCUCCGAAGCGAGGGUUAUAGAGGUGUACGGCUACCACGGGGAGUACCUGAGCACCUUGAAGAAUGAGUUGAUGGAAGAGGUAGAUGGCAUGUCAGUCUUUCGAGGAGACCUGACCCUCGUACGGACCCCUGAAAGAAUGCUGCCUCAAGUUCAUCCCCCUCAAGUCGAAAGAAUCAAUGUGGCUAUAUGGAAUCAAGGUGAUGGUUCAACAGACAACGAGGCCAGAACUCCCGAGUAUGUUCCCCACUAGCAUGCCCCUAAAAGAAGUAGAAGAACGACUGCAGGCAUCAGGAACACAGAUUAGUGAUAAGGCUGAGGCACUUAAAAAGAUGAUGGAGCUCUUUCAAGGAGGUGCUAGCCGUUUUCCUGGAGCAAUGUUUCAGCCCAGUUCCUCUGGAUUGGCCUCUUUACCGCAGACAGGACUUGCCUCUUUGUCACACAGUCUUCCACAGCAAGAUCAGCAGCCAUCCAAUGCUAUGUCCCAACUCUUCAGCCUUCUUCAGGGGUCGGUCCAUCCACCUGUUCAACAAGUGCCACCCAAGCUCGUGCCAAAACCGGUUGCAGCCCUCGAGUUGGGUAGGGAGGCCUCGUUGCAAUAUCCCGCAAGCACAGAUAACAACACCCAGGAGGCUUUGCUCACUGGACUAGUAAAGUUGCUACUGGACAAGACAACCAGGCCGCCCCAGUCUGAGGUGCAAGCUCAGCCGGCUGUGCCACCAAAAAAGCAGAACCACUACUAGCCACUCAAGGAAAAAAUCUUGUUUUGGAGCUUUUAGAGAAGUCGGGCAUGAUGAACAAAGAAAUGGCGACACUUCUGUUGACGGAAAUUGUGGAGAAGAGUGGUGUCAAGUUUCAUUUAAAUCACUCAUUAGGUGAUGCAGAGCAAAGGUCAAACUUGCCUGCUCAAACUGCCCCCCCAAAGGAAGCUGGAGCAGCUGUGAUAGAACAGGUAAACCAGUCAACAGAAAAAGAGGUUUCGGAGCUCAGCUCACAGGAGCGGCCAUUGAUUGAGCCCAAGGUCGAGCCUUCAAAGGAAGCAGCCUCACAGACAGACAUGCCUGAUGAAACAGUGCCCCAAGUGCCCAGAACGGAUCCAGAAGAGGUUGUUGGUAAAAUGUUCCAAGGUCUUCAGGAUCAGCUUCUCGAGUUACUUGGACAGCGCUUUGAAGAGCUGAAGCUGGAGGUGGUUCAAAAACUGGACCUGAAAAUUCAGGAAAUGGAGGAGCGCAUCAAUGGACGGUUUGAUGCCAUCAUCGAUGCUCUGCAAGGCCAAGAAGAGGAUGAGGAAAUAUUUGAGCAGCCCGAUGAAGGAUCUGUCUAGGGCCCAGUUGGGGCUAGCUCUUCCCGCAUCUGUCCAAUUUAUUGCACUGGCAAGAUCUGAGGGGUACAAAGUUAUUGCAGUUGGACUAAUUUUUGACUGUUGCAGUUGUUUCAUGUGCAGAUCUUUAAACCAGGUGUAAAUGAGUAAUAAAUAUGUCAAAGUGCCUUGCCACGCUCGACGAUACCAAAUUCAGUUGCUGCUGUAAAGCCUUUCACUCAAUGGAAAGAAAUGCCAAUGAUCACCUUUGUCAAUUUGACACAUUAAAGCUAUGUUACCAUCAUUGUAAA